rnacentral:rRNA from 1 species
GACGAACGCUGGCGGCGUGCUUAACACAUGCAAGUCGAACGGAAAGGCCCUGCUUUUGUGGGGUGCUCGAGUGGCGAACGGGUGAGUAACACGUGAGUGACCUGCCCUUGACUUUGGGAUAACUUCAGGAAACUGGGGCUAAUACCGGAUAGGAGCUCCUGCUGCAUGGUGGGGGUUGGAAAGUUUCGGCGGUUGGGGAUGGACUCGCGGCUUAUCAGCUUGUUGGUGGGGUAGUGGCUUACCAAGGCUUUGACGGGUAGCCGGCCUGAGAGGGUGACCGGCCACAUUGGGACUGAGAUACGGCCCAGACUCCUACGGGAGGCAGCAGUGGGGAAUAUCGCACAAUGGGCGGAAGCCUGAUGCAGCAACGCCGCGUGCGGGAUGACGGCCUUCGGGUUGUAAACCGCUUUCGCCUGUGACGAAGCGUGAGUGACGGUAAUGGGUAAAGAAGCACCGGCUAACUACGUG